CAUCACUAUCGAUUUUCUCCCAACCCUAAUACACUACACAUAUUUCUUUUGUUUUUUUACAUUUGUAAUUUACAUAUACGUGUGAGGCGUGCCGGCAUACAUAUGCAGACUUAAAAUAUGGCUAUGCUACAAGGAAUCCAGUCUUAUUUUUCUAAACUAAGUCCUCUGGCUGAAAAGAUUACCCGCGAUAUAAGUCAGGCGAAGUCCGCUUAUAGCCCAGAUACAUGGCUUGGGUUAACUUUGUCAGAACAGGAAAAUAUUGUCAACGAUCAUUUUAUAAAACCUGAAAUAUAUAUUAAGUACUUUAAUAAGACUAAGCCGGAAUGUUCACCGAAAGAAAACAUCGACAGUCGGAAAUUGCGAACUGAAACUAAAGAAAAUAUAUCUAAAAGCGACCAACAUCACUGGCAUAUGAACGACGUUAUAUAUAGCUUUAACGGUAAAAACCUGCACACCUUUUUUUAUCAAAACGUGGGUCUGAAAGUUUUACACGAUGAAAAUACCCGUGACUACCGCGAUGAGCAUUCCUUCCCAUUUAGUUAUCGAACCAAAUCACAAAUAAAUAUCCCAGCAGCUUUUAGUGAUUAUGCUGAUAAAGAUUCUGAUCCCACAGAUGUGUGCAAUCAAAUCAUCCUUUUAAAAGUCGAAAAGGAAUUGAUACACCCUCAGCAAACAACUGAUCUCAGUAUUUCAGAAGAAAUUAAUAAAUGUAGGAGAGUGAUAUCCUUGCAUGAAUACGAUCGACUAAUUGAGAAUGGAUAUGAUGACGGAAGAUGUAGCUUUAAUACAGAUGAAAAAUCAAAACUCUUGUCCAAUUUUGGCUCAAAAAAUAGUAUCUUGUCAGAUUUGUCUGAUGAAAAUGAAUCCAAAGAGCUCUUUCAAGAAGAAAAUGCUAAACUUCUAUCCCCAGCCGUGCAAAUUCCGCAAGGCUUCGAUUUUUUAAGUAAUUGGUAGUACUUAUCACUUAUAUAUAAUUAUAAAAAGAUUCGCAAUAAAAUACACUUUGUCAAGGUUGUUUCCUCUGCAUCAGAUCAACCUGAUUUCAUUGAUUCAAAAAA